rnacentral:rRNA from 1 species
UACGUAGGUGGCAAGCGUUAUCCGGAUUUAUUGGGCGUAAAGGGAACGCAGGCGGUCUUUUAAGUCUGAUGUGAAAGCCUUCGGCUUAACCGGAGUAGUGCAUUGGAAACUGGGAGACUUGAGUGCAGAAGAGGAGAGUGGAACUCCAUGUGUAGCGGUGAAAUGCGUAGAUAUAUGGAAGAACACCAGUGGCGAAAGCGGCUCUCUGGUCUGUAACUGACGUUGAGGCUCGAAAGCGUGGGUAGCAAACAGG